CUGGUUGAUCCUGCCAGUAGUCAUAUGCUUGUCUCAAAGAUUAAGCCAUGCAUGUCUAAGUAUAAGCAACUAUACGGUGAAACUGCGAAUGGCUCAUUAAAUCAGUUAUCGUUUAUUUGAUAGUACCUUACUACAUGGAUAACCGUGGUAAUUCUAGAGCUAAUACAUGCUAAAAACCUCGACUUCGGAAGGGGUGUAUUUAUUAGAUAAAAAACCAAUGCCCUUCGGGGCUCCUUGGUGAAUCAUAAUAACUUAACGAAUCGCAUGGCCUUGCGCCGGCGAUGGUUCAUUCAAAUUUCUGCCCUAUCAACUUUCGAUGGUAGGAUAGUGGCCUACCAUGGUAUCAACGGGUAACGGGGAAUUAGGGUUCGACUCCGGAGAGGGAGCCUGAGAAACGGCUACCACAUCCAAGGAAGGCAGCAGGCGCGCAAAUUACCCAAUCCCGACACGGGGAGGUAGUGACAAUAAAUACUGAUACAGGGCUCUUUUGGGUCUUGUAAUUGGAAUGAGUACAAUUUAAAUCCCUUAACGAGGAACAAUUGGAGGGCAAGUCUGGUGCCAGCAGCCGCGGUAAUUCCAGCUCCAAUAGCGUAUAUUAAAGUUGUUGCAGUUAAAAAGCUCGUAGUUGAACCUUGGGCCUGGCUGGCCGGUCCGCCUCACCGCGUGUACUGGUCCGGCCGGGCCUUUCCUUCUGGGGAACCUCAUGCCCUUCACUGGGCGUGUUGGGGAACCAGGACUUUUACUUUGAAAAAAUUAGAGUGUUCAAAGCAGGCCUUUGCUCGAAUACAUUAGCAUGGAAUAAUAGAAUAGGACGUGUGGUUCUAUUUUGUUGGUUUCUAGGACCGCCGUAAUGAUUAAUAGGGAUAGUCGGGGGCAUCAGUAUUCAAUCGUCAGAGGUGAAAUUCUUGGAUUGAUUGAAGACUAACUACUGCGAAAGCAUUUGCCAAGGAUGUUUUCAUUAAUCAGUGAACGAAAGUUAGGGGAUCGAAGACGAUCAGAUACCGUCGUAGUCUUAACCAUAAACUAUGCCGACUAGGGAUCGGACGGUGUUAGUAUUUUGACCCGUUCGGCACCUUACGAGAAAUCAAAGUUUUUGGGUUCUGGGGGGAGUAUGGUCGCAAGGCUGAAACUUAAAGAAAUUGACGGAAGGGCACCACCAGGCGCGGAGCCUGCGGCUUAAUUUGACUCAACACGGGGAAACUCACCAGGUCCAGACACAAUAAGGAUUGACAGAUUGAGAGCUCUUUCUUGAUUUUGUGGGUGGUGGUGCAUGGCCGUUCUUAGUUGGUGGAGUGAUUUGUCUGCUUAAUUGCGAUAACGAACGAGACCUUAACCUGCUAAAUAGCCAGGCCCGCUUUGGCGGGUCGCCGGCUUCUUAGAGGGACUAUCGGCUCAAGCCGAUGGAAGUUUGAGGCAAUAACAGGUCUGUGAUGC
rnacentral:rRNA from 1 species